rnacentral:rRNA from 1 species
AGUGGCGAACGGGUGAGUAACACGUGAGCAACGUGCCCAAGACUCUGGAAUAACUUCGGGAAACCGGAGCUAAUACUGGAUACGAGACGUAAAGGCAUCUUUAGCGUCUGGAAAGAAUUUCGGUCUUGGAUCGGCUCACGGCCUAUCAGCUUGUUGGUGAGGUAAUGGCUCACCAAGGCGACGACGGGUAGCCGGCCUGAGAGGGUGUACGGCCACAUUGGGACUGAGAUACGGCCCAG